UGCCUUGUAGUUUAAUAGAACAGGAAAUUGCAAGUUUUCAGGUGAAUAUCUUCCAAGGCUU
rnacentral:tRNA from 1 species